rnacentral:misc_RNA from 1 species
GAUGAAGAACGUAGCGAAAUGCGAUAAGUAGUGUGAAUUGCAGAAUUCAGUGAAUCAUCGAAUCUUUGAACGCACAUUGCGCCCUUUGGUAUUCCAAAGGGCAUGCCUGUUCGAGCGUCAUUUGUACCCUCAAGCUUUGCUUGGUGUUGGGCGUCUUGUCUCUAGCUUUGCUGGAGACUCGCCUUAAAGUAAUUGGCAGCCGGCCUACUGGUUUCGGAGCGCAGCACAAGUCGCACUCUCUAUCAGCAAAGGUAUAGCAUCCAUUAAGCCUUUUUUUCAACUUUUGACCUCGGAUCAGGUAGGGAUACCCGCUGAACUUAAGCAUAUCAAUAAGCGGAGGA